UAAAUGGAAGCCAAUUUAGGCACUUAUCUGUUAAUUAAGUCUCUGCGGAAUAACCGCCCAUUUAG
rnacentral:tRNA from 1 species